rnacentral:rRNA from 1 species
GACGAACGCUGGCGGCGUGCUUAACACAUGCAAGUCGAACGCAAAGGCCCUGCCUUUCUUCGGUGCUCGAGUGGCGAACGGGUGAGUAACGCGUAGGUAACCUGCCCUUUACUUGGGGAUAACUUCAGGAAACUGGAGCUAAUACCGGAUAGGAGCUCCUGCUGCAUGGUGUUGGUUUGAAAGUUUCGACUGCUGGGCAUGCGCUCGCGGCUUCUCUGCUUGUUGGUGGGGUAGAGGCUCAGCAAGGCGUUGCCGGCGAGCCGCACUGAGAGGGUGAGCGGCCAGCCUGGGACGGAGACACGGCCCAGACUCCUACGGGAGGCAGCAGUAGGGAAUCUUCGGCAAGGGACGGAAGUCUGAGCGAGCAACGCCGCGGGAGGGAAGAAGGGUGUCGGAUCGUAAAGCUCUGUUGUAAGAGAAGAACGAGUGUGAGAGUGGAAAGUUCACACUGUGACGGUAACUGACCAGAAAGGGACGGCUAACUACGUG